GAUGAACGCUGGCGGCGUGCCUAAUACAUGCAAGUCGAGCGAACAGAUGAGGAGCUUGCUCCUCUGACGUUAGCGGCGGACGGGUGAGUAACACGUGGAUAACCUACCUAUAAGACUGGGAUAACUUCGGGAAACCGGAGCUAAUACCGGAUAAUAUAUUGAACCGCAUGGUUCAAUAGUGUAAGACGGUUUUGCUGUCACUUAUAGAUGGAUCCGCGCCGCAUUAGCUAGUUGGUAAGGUAACGGCUUACCAAGGCAACGAUGCGUAGCCGACCUGAGAGGGUGAUCGGCCACACUGGAACUGAGACACGGUCCAGACUCCUACGGGAGGCAGCAGUAGGGAAUCUUCCGCAAUGGGCGAAAGCCUGACGGAGCAACGCCGCGUGAGUGAUGAAGGUCUUCGGAUCGUAAAACUCUGUUAUUAGGGAAGAACAAAUGUGUAAGUAACUAUGCACGUCUUGACGGUACCUAAUCAGAAAGCCACGGCUAACUACGUG
rnacentral:rRNA from 1 species